rnacentral:rRNA from 1 species
AGUGAACGCUGGCGGCGUGCCUAAUACAUGCAAGUCGAACGGAAUUUAAAAGAGCUUGCUCUUUUAAAUUUAGUGGCGCACGGGUGAGUAAUAUAUAGCUAAUCUGCCCCUUGCUGGAGGACAACAGUUAGAAAUGACUGCUAAUACUCCAUACUCCUUUUUACCAUAAGAUAAAUCGGGAAAGAAUUUCGGCAAGGGAUGAGACUAUAUCGUAUCAGCUAGUCGGUGGGGUAACGGCCUACCGAGGCUAUGACGCGUAACUGGCCUGAGAGGAUGAUCAGUCACAUUGGAACUGAGACACGGUCCAAACUCCUACGGGAGGCAGCAGUAGGGAAUAUUGCGCAAUGGGGGAAACCCUGACGCAGCAACGCCGCGUGGAGGAUGACACUUUUCGGAGCGUAAACUCCUUUUGUUAGGGAAGAAUAAGACGGUACC